UACAGAGGAUGCAAGCGUUAUCCGGAAUGAUUGGGCGUAAAGCGUCUGUAGGUGGCUUUUUAAGUCCGCCGUCAAAUCCCAGGGCUCAACUCUGGACAGGCGGUGGAAACUACCAAGCUGGAGUACGGUAGGGGCAGAGGGAAUUUCCGGUGGAGCGGUGAAAUGCGUAGAGAUCGGAAAGAACACCAACGGCGAAGGCGGGUCUCUGGGCCGAUACUGACACUGAGGAGCGAAAGCGUGGGGAGCGAACAGG
rnacentral:rRNA from 1 species